CGCGUUGGCAGACGGGCAAAGAAAGACUCCAGCAAGAGAAGUAAAGCUUAUACUUUCUUUAUGAAACCUUUUGGGCCUAAUUUUAGAAUCAAAUGGCUCAAAACGCCCUGGUUGAAUGGAACACUGGACUGUGUGAUUGCUUUGAGGAUGCAGCCACCUGUUGCUAUGGUUUCUGGUGUGGCCCCUGCCUCGCUUGCUCAGUUUCAGGCAAAUUUGGAGAGUUCUACUGUCUACCCUUAUGUGAUUACUUCUGUCAAAGUACGCUGAAUGCUUGUGGCAUACCUUGCUUUGUCCCACCGGUAGCCUUCUCCACAAGGUCUUCCAUGCGCAACAGAUACGGGAUCAAGGGUUCUCUGUGUAAGGACCUCGUGGUUUCCUGUUGCUGCGUGUGGUGCUCCUGGUGUCAAAUGCAUCGUGAGCUGAAACAUCAGAAGAAAGCCCCCGAAGUAAUACACAUGCAACCACAAACUUUUGUUAACAUGCAGCCUAUUUCUGUGAUGAUGGUGUCUGAAACUCAUCUUCCAGCAGUAAUGGUGACUUCAUGACACGGAGCGGAACUGUCAACCCUACUUUUGUUAAGAAUUCCUCAUUACUUUCUAAGUACAAAUCUCUUUAAAGAAACUUCAAUUAUUUCCUUUAGUUUCUUUAAAAAAUGUAGCCAAAAUAUUUUUUUUACAAUAAAUUCUGGUUGGUAAAACACUUUUGGUAAAUAGAAAGCCUUUUGACAGCUUUAACCUCAAGAUCUUCAGAUACUUACAUGACAGUCUGCUGGAUCAGAUAUGUCAUACCGCAAGAAAUAGGUUUAUACCAUUGACUGUACAAGAGAACUGGGCUGAGUGAGUGGGAUAGCCCGCAUGACGUAACAUCUGGAACAAGACGGAAAGCAAGCCCAACGUUCUGUUGGAAUGCUGUUGGAAUGCUACUACUCAAGUAAUCCUGGCAGAGAAUGUGAAGGGAAUGUUCCAUCCACAAACAGCAACUCCUAUCACAACUUGAGAUUGAAGGGGUACAACACAAAUGAAGCACAACAGGAGAGCCAGACCACCAGGUCAGAGAGGAGGCUAUACCACACUCCCACCCUAAGCUUGGGAGCACAGUCCCAAUAACUACAGAUAUAUGGAAGCAUAACUGUCAAUUCAAAAUAAAAGUCAAUAACCGAAAAGCUAGUUUAGUUUAGUCUGUUUAGUUGAAGUUUAGUAUUAU